rnacentral:rRNA from 1 species
GGUUGUAAAGCUCUUUCAGCCGGAACGAAACGGUCACGGUUAAUACCCGUGACUACUGACGGUACCGGAAGAAGAAGCACCGGCUAACUACGUGCCAGCAGCCGCGGUAAUACGUAGGGUGCGAGCGUUAAUCGGAAUUACUGGGCGUAAAGCGUGCGCAGGUGGUUUUGUAAGUCAGAUGUGAAAUCCCCGGGCUUAACCUGGGAACUGCGUUUGAAACUGCAAGGCUAGAGUGUGGCAGAGGGGGGUGGAAUUCCGCGUGUAGCAGUGAAAUGCGUAGAGAUGUGGAGGAACACCGAUGGCGAAGGCAGCCCCCUGGGUCAACACUGACGCUCAGGCACGAAAGCAUGGGGAGCAAACAGGAUUAGAUACCCUGGUAGUCCAUGCCCUAAACGAUGUCAACUAGUUGUCGGGUCUUAACGGGCUUGGUAACGUAGCUAACGCGUGAAGUUGACCGCCUGGGGAGUACGAUCGCAAGAUUAAAACUCAAAGGAAUUGACGGGGACCCGCACAAGCGGUGGAUUAUGUGGAUUAAUUCGAUGCAACGCGAAAAACCUUACCUACCCUUGACAUGUAUUGAAACCCGCAGAGAUGUGGGUGUGCCCGAAAGGGAACGAUAACACAGGUGCUGCAUGGCUGUCGUCAGCUCGUGUCGUGAGAUGUUGGGUUAAGUCCCGCAACGAGCGCAACCCUUGUCAUUAAUUGCCAUCAUUUAGUUGGGCACUUUAAUGAGACUGCCGGUGACAAACCGGAGGAAGGUGGGGAUGACGUCAAGUCCUCAUGGCCCUUAUGGGUAGGGC